AGUGAACGCUGGCGGUAGGCCUAACACAUGCAAGUCGAACGGCAGCACAGUAAGAGCUUGCUCUUACGGGUGGCGAGUGGCGGACGGGUGAGGAAUACAUCGGAAUCUACUUUUUCGUGGGGGAUAACGUAGGGAAACUUACGCUAAUACCGCAUACGACCUACGGGGGAAAGCAGGGGAUCUUCUGACCUUGCGCGAUUGAAUGAGCCGAUGUCGGAUUAGCUAGUUGGCGGGGUAAAGGCGCACCAAGGCGACGAUCCGUAGCUGGUCUGAGAGGAUGAUCAGCCACCCUGGAACUGAGACACGGUCCAGACUCCUACGGGAGGCCGCAGUGGGGACUAUUGGACAAUGGGCGAAAGCCUGAUCCAGCCAUACCGCGUGGGUGAAGAAGGCCUUCGGGUUGUAAAGCCCUUUUGUUGGGAAAGAAAAGCAGCAGGUUAAUACCCCGCUGUUCUGACGGUACCCAAAGAAUAAGCACCGGCUAACUUCGUG
rnacentral:rRNA from 1 species